GCCCGCGUGUGGGGCCAGGUGGGGAGCCUGUGCACAGCUGGCUCUAAUUUCAGGGGC
ensembl:miRNA